UUUAAGACAAAAAUCUCAAAAUGACUGUGUUUUCUGCCUCCUGGGUCUCAAAGGCAGGUGCAAUGCCCAGAGGCUGGUCCUGCACAGAGGGACCCAGGGCGUGCUGGCCUUCCCGGUGUCUCGCUGGUGGCCGAUCUAAGCAGUGCUUUCCCUCGGGUUUUUUGUUUUAUUUUGUUUUGUUUUUUUGAGACAGAAUCUUGCUCUGUCCCCCAGGCUGGAGAGAAUGGCACAAUCUCAGCUCACUGCAGCCUCCCGCCUCAGCCUCCGGAGUAGCUGGGAUUACAGGUGUGUGUCCUCAUGCCUGGCUAACUUUUGUAUUUUUAGUAGAGACGGGGUUUCACCUUGUUGGUCAGGCUGGUCUCCAGUUCCUGGCCUCAAGUGAUCUGCCCGCCUCGGCCUCCCUAAGUGCUGGGAUGACAGGCGUAAGCCUCUGCGCCCAGCCUCCCUAUUGUUUCUAAUGGUCCCUCAGUGCCCCACUGGGUGAUGGUGGCAGAUUUCCCAUCCGCAUUGCUCCCGGACAUGCAGAUGUAGGUUUCAGCAGUUCCCAUCAUUAGACACAGUUGCCAUAGCCUGGGUUCUUAGUAGCAGGCUCAAUGGGGCAAUGGGAAUGAGCUUUUGAGUCUUUCCAUGGCUGGUGCCCGCCGGACUCACUGAGGGAAACUAAUGAGGAAGCACUGGUCUCCAUCGCUUGCAUGUGCGGCCCACUGCUGCGAUGGUGAAGGGAUAAGGUUGUGUUCAUGCGUCGAAGUUGGUGCCUCUCAGUAUCACUUUAUGUUUGUUGGCCACUUGGUCCUUUUAUGAGCUGUCCACUCCUUGUUGAUUGGCCAGAGCUCUUUAUGUGGGGAGGACCAAGGGCCCUCAUCUGGCGGGUGUGCAGGCACCCACGCACUCUUGUCCCUUGCAGCGGCUGGCUGUCGGCAAUCGGAUUCUUCCAGUACAGCCCGGGCGCUGCCGUGGUCAUGCUGCUUCCGGCCAUCAUGUUCUCUGUGUCGGCUGCCAUGAUGGCCAUCGCGAUCAUGAAGGUGCACAGGAUCUACCGAGGGGCCGGCGGAAGCUUCCAGAAGGCACAGACGGAGUGGAACACGGGCACUUGGCGGAACCCACCGUCGAGGGAGGCCCAGUACAACAACUUCUCAGGCAACAGCCUGCCCGAGUACCCCACUGUGCCCAGCUACCCGGGCAGUGGCCAAUGGCCUUAGAGGGAGCCAGCCCUGCCCCCACCGCCCACCACCUCCUCCCCUUCAUUCCUGCUGCUACCCCUGGUCCCGAGGGCUGGGAGUACCUGGGGCCCCAUCCCCCCAGCUGGGAUGGUGGAAGCUGGUGGUGGCCACAGACCACAUCCCUCCUGCCAGGGCCACAGAGCCCGUGUUCAUCUCAUCCGAGAGCGGAGUUCCUCGCAAGCACUCCCCAGCGGCCCUCGGCCUCUGCCGUCCACAGGACGCCCUCUUGCUCCCGGAAACGUGUGGUCACCUGCCGUCCACUGCACGGCUGGUACAGCCUUGUCUUCAGGUCUCGAGGCCUGACUCCGGGGGACAGGUGGCAGCAGGUCGGCUGCCCUCCUGUCCUCCCAGAGCUGCUGGCGCUGAGGCCAGAGCAGGUCUGAUGGGGAGCUCCGUCUCACACCAGCCGCCCGCCGUCACCAGGGCAGAUGCCCUUGGCUGGAACUAAGAAGAGGCGUUGGGGCCAGCUUCCGGUCCCCUGCAGUGAUAGAGGGCUUGGUGCCUAGCCGAGUCCUCGCUGUCCAUGGCAUCCCCUGAUCUGUGCGGCUCCAGCCUCGCCCCCUCCCCACGUUCACCGUACCUGGGGAGUUCCUGGUCCAGGGUGUCCUGGGGCCAUCCUCCCUGCCUCCAAAACAGGGAUCCCUGGCAGGCUGUCUUUCCACGCCCCUGAGUUCAGAGUCGGGGACCCAGGCCAGGUCGGGAGCACAGCCGCUCCCCAAACCCAGCAAACCGGCAGAGAGCCGGUUUCCCAGCAGCCGGAGCCCUGCAGGAGAGGCCUUUUUGUUUUGUUUUGUUUUGUUUUUUUCGCUUUUGAGACAGAGUUUCACUCUGUUGCCCAGGUUGGAGUGCAGUGAUGUGAUCUCGGCUCACUGCAACCUCUGCCUCCCGUGUUCAAGCAGUUCUCCUGCCUCAGCCUCCCAAAUAGCUGGGAUUACAGGAGCCCGCCACCACACCCUGCUAAUUUUUAUAUUUUUAGUAGAGAUGGGAUUUCACCAUGUUGGCCAGGCUGGUCUCGAACUCCUGACCUCAGGUGAUCCACCCGUCUUGGCCUCCCAAAGUGCUGGGAUAAUAGUUGUGAGCCACCGUGCCCAGCCUGGAGUGGCCUUUUAUGAGAGGGGACCCGUCAAAUCUGCCUUAUGGAGGGGUCCGGCGGCAGCCACAAUUGUCUUGUCCCCUCGCCCCGCAACUCCCCCUGGAACACCUCCCCCAGGCAAGACAUUUUCACAGCACCAUUCACAACAGUUGGGCCAAAAAGAAACUUUUCCUUCAUCAUUUCCUGCACUCGCUGACCACGACUUUGCACACCCCAGGCUGCCACCCCUCACCACCCGUUCACCCCCAGGAUGCUGUUGCUCUAGGACACCUGCUGCCCUGGAGCCCUCCCCGGGAUGUGGGCCAGUCCCCUCGCUGGUGCGGAAUGCCGCUGGGUGCCCGGAGGCGGCCGUGGUGUCUCGGUGGACGGCAGCCAGGAUGGAGCACCCAUGGGUCCCACGGCCAUGCUUCAGGGUCUUCAGGUCCUGCCCCCGGCCAGUCUGCCAAGAGGCACCCCCUUCCCCAGCCUCUCGCCGGCACUGAUGCAGACGAAGUCUCACCUGGCAGGCCCAUCCCCCCACCCUUCCCCCGCCGUGUGUGCCCCUUGCCGCAUCGUUGGGGUUUUGUUACGUGAAAAUAUCCUGGAAAUAAAUACAUGUUUCUG
rnacentral:sRNA from 1 species